rnacentral:rRNA from 1 species
GUUGAACGCUGGCGGCAUGCCUUACACAUGCAAGUCGAACGGCAGCGGGGGAGAAGCUUGCUUUUCCUGCCGGCGAGUGGCGAACGGGUGAGUAAUACAUCGGAACGUGCCCUGUAGUGGGGGAUAACUAGUCGAAAGAUUAGCUAAUACCGCAUACGACCUGAGGGUGAAAGUGGGGGACCGCAAGGCCUCAUGCUAUAGGAGCGGCCGAUGUCUGAUUAGCUAGUUGGUGGGGUAAAGGCCUACCAAGGCGACGAUCAGUAGCUGGUCUGGGAGAACGAGAGGGCACACUGGGACUGAGGAACGGCCCAGACUCCUACGGGAGGCAGCAGGGGGGAACUUUGGACGAUGGGCGAAAGCCUGAUCCAGCAAUGCCGCGUGUGUGAAGAAGGCCUUCGGGUUGUAAAGCACUUUUGUCCGGAAAGAAAUGGCUCUGGUUAAUACCUGGGGUCGAUGACGGUACCGGAAGAAUAAGGACCGGCUAACUACGUGCCAGCAGCCGCCGUAA